UCUGCCCGCUGAGGUCUCUGCAGGAAUCCCAAAACCCGGCCACUUGAACCCUCUCCCAGAGCUUCUUCCCCCUGUUUCUUAUUAAUGCAGCGGUUCAGGAGCUCAGCUCAGUCCAUCAAUUCAGCAGUCAAGGGAGGAUGGAGGAAGGGGGAGGGGAGCGACGAGUGGAUAGGUGGGGAGGAGUUGACCCACUCGCCUCAGGAUCCCUCUAGGUCCUAAAGGUAGCAAGAUUCUCCAAAUCCUUUCUUGCCCCUUCCCAAAAUUCUAGAACGUAGAGAAUGACUUAAUAAUGACUCUAUCAUAUGGCUGGGCUAACUUCUCUCCCCUAGAGAAGGUACCCAUACCUCCUCAAAAGAUGAUCCUGUGGCAAGGUUCCAUUGGUCACUGAAGCUAACCUGGCACAUAAGGAACUCAAAAGGAAAGAGGAAUUACUCAACAAGUCUUUAUUAAAAGGGAGCAGCUUGGAAGCAUUAAAAACACUACACAAUUUCCUACAUUCAAUCCAGUCUGCUUUCUUUCUCCUGUUCAGUUUUGGGCCCAAUUCAUUUCCCAUGAGCAGUGCCAGUCGCAGAUAGAUGAACCGAUGGAUUAACUCAAUGGCCUGGCCUUCCAAUGGUGCAGCAUCCUGUUUGCAGAUCACAUUGCACUGAUUACAUCAAGCCCCCGAGCAUUACAGAGCUUCCUUAAUGAGAUCCAUGAUUCCUCAAAAGAGGAAAAUCCAGAUGGAAAAACUAAAUGAAUGGAAAACUGCCUGUACAUAGUAGGCUCUCAUUAAGUGGCUAUUGAAUGAAUGACCCCUGGUUGAAAUUAACAUCAGGGACUGCCUUAAAGGGGAAAAGAGGACCUCAAAGAAGACAGGCAGUGGAAUGUGGAAGAGGGGUGGUGCAUUUGCCUUUAUGAGCAGCUCUUCUUGCCCUUCCUGGGCUGUCUGCUUGAUCUGAGAGAUAGAAAGCAGCAAAGGAGAGAUUCCACAGACAAAGACAGAGCAACAGAGAGGACGUGGCAUAGCUCUUGGUCAUCAGAAAUGUGAACUGAAGGGCUAGGUUAGAGACAACGGGGUGGACUGGCAAUAGCAGGCUUCCGUCACGCGUGCGCGUGCACACACACACACGCACGCACACACACCCCUCGUGAGAAGUUGGGGAGAAAUGGAACUGUAUCCACUGAACCAACACUAUUUCAGUGAAAAUGGGAGACAAUUCAUACCAGGGAAGCCCUACAAGUUAUGCAUGGUAACAGGACCUGAAGCCUGUGAAUACUGAAAGAGAGGCCAUACCAAAGAAAAGAUGAGUAAAUGAAAGAAAACUCCAGUUACAAUGAAGAAAUAUUAUGGAUUAAAAGAAACCCAAGAAGUAGUCCUUAAUGAAAAGAGUAAUUCCACACAAGCAUUAGCAAAUCCACAAGGAAAAAAAAAUACUUGGUGUGUGACCCUGGGUAAAUCACUUAA